CCUACGGGUGGCAGCAGUGGGGGAUAUUGCACAAUGGGGGAAACCCUGAUGCAGCGACGCCGCGUGUGGGAAGACGGUCCUCUGGAUUGUAAACCACUGUCCCCAGGGACGAAGAUGACGGUACCUGGGGAGGAAGCUCCGGCUAACUACGUGCCAGCAGCCGCGGUAAUACGUAGGGAGCGAGCGUUGUCCGGAAUUACUGGGUGAAAAGGGAGCGUAGGCGGGACUGCAAGUUGGGUGUCAAAUCUACCGGCUCAACCGGUGGCCGCACUCAAAACUGGAGUUCUUGAGUGAAGUAGAGGCAGGCGGAAUUCCUAGUGUAGCGGUGAAAUGCGUAGAUAUUAGGAGGAACACCAGUGGCGAAGGCGGCCUGCUGGGCUUUUACUGACGCGGAGGCUCGAAAGUGUGGGGAGCAAACAGGAUUAGAUACCCCUGUAGUC
rnacentral:rRNA from 1 species